AUUGAACGCUGGCGGAAUGCUUUACACAUGCAAGUCGAACGGCAGCACGGGGCAACCUGGUGGCGAGUGGCGAACGGGUGAGUAAUACAUCGGAACGUGCCCAAUCGUGGGGGAUAACGUAGCGAAAGUUACGCUAAUACCGCAUACGAUCUACGGAUGAAAGCGGGGGAUCGCAAGACCUCGCGCGAAUGGAGCGGCCGAUGUCAGAUUAGGUAGUUGGUGGGGUAAAGGCUCACCAAGCCGACGAUCUGUAGCUGGUCUGAGAGGACGACCAGCCACACUGGGACUGAGACACGGCCCAGACUCCUACGGGAGGCAGCAGUGGGGAAUUUUGGACAAUGGGCGCAAGCCUGAUCCAGCCAUUCCGCGUGCAGGAUGAAGGCCUUCGGGUUGUAAACUGCUUUUGUACGGAACGAAACGGUUCUCUCUAAUACAGGGGGCUAAUGACGGUACCGUAAGAAUAAGCACCGGCUAACUACGUA
rnacentral:rRNA from 1 species